AGAGUUUGAUCAUGGCUCAGGAUGAACGCUGGCGGUAUGCCUAACACAUGCAAGUCGAACGGAACCUUCGGGUUUAGUGGCGGACGGGUGAGUAACGCGUGAGAAUCUGCCUUCAGGAUGGGGACAACAGUUGGAAACGACUGCUAAUACCCGAUAUGCAGCGAUGUGAAAGAUUUAUCGCCUGGAGAUGAGCUCGCGUCAGAUUAGCUAGUUGGUGUGGUAAAGGCGCACCAAGGCGACGAUCUGUAGCUGGUCUGAGAGGAUGAGCAGCCACACUGGGACUGAGACACGGCCCAGACUCCUACGGGAGGCAGCAGUGGGGAAUUUUCCGCAAUGGGCGCAAGCCUGACGGAGCAAUACCGCGUGAGGGAGGAAGGCUCUUGGGUCGUAAACCUCUUUUCUCAGGGAAGAACACAAUGACGGUACCUGAGGAAUCAGCAUCGGCUAACUCCGUGCCAGCAGCCGCGGUAAUACGGAGGAUGCAAGCGUUAUCCGGAAUGAUUGGGCGUAAGGCGUCCGUAGGUGGUUUUGUAAGUCUGUGGUUAAAGCGCGAAGCUUAACUUCGUAAGGGCCAUGGAAACUACAAGACUUGAGUAAAGUA
rnacentral:rRNA from 1 species